UUGAAAAGAAGAAACUCGAGAGAAGAAAGAAAAUGGCAACAUACUUUAGAAGAGACUUUUAGCUGUGCAAUAUUUUUUUCCUUUCCUCUGUAUGCUUCUGUUGGAAAAAGUAGAACAGAGAAAAAAGAAUCAAAGGAUAUCAAGCCUUUCCCAGAGCCGACCAAACAGUUUAGGACCAAUUCCCACAACAACUUCAGGCUGAGAGAGGGAUCAGUUUUUCCCCAUAGGGUUCUCAAAGUAGAAUGGGGCAUCCUGUUAGGAUGGUCUUCUGCCUUCCUGGGGCAUAAACUCUCAUUGUAGGGGCAUCUUCAGAAUAGCCUCGUUCUCUGUAAAGUGAAGGAACUGCGGCACCUGGAACCGCGCGAUUCUCAACUGGCGAGACUCUGUCCCUGUCUCACGGCGGGAGAGUACACAGUCACUAAAGGGGCACAGCAGCCAAGUGCGUUAGAAGGCGGCAGGUGAGCCCGUCACGCUGCCACAAAAGCGCGCGCACACUCACACACCCAGCACUGUGGAACGUUCAUGAUAACAUCUCCCUGCUCCCGUUGGCCGGGAACCAAAGUCACAGCGCCGCUUUUGCCGGAGGAGAGCGACGCGAAGUGCACACUCAUACCUGCGGCGCAGAGGAACACAGCUGAUAGCACCACGCCUCUGCCGCUAGGAACCGAAGUGACAGGACCGACGACCAGCGGAGAAGGGCACAGCCACUCCGCACUGGCAAGGCCGACUUCCGUAAGGAAUUAACCUGAGUGCUACGAAGUUGGAGAUACGUAGUCCAGAGCCAGGAUCGUCUCGAUUCCUGUCAGCACCGAGCCCCAGCCGGCACACCGGUAUUCCCAGCACCUUACAGGAACUUCCUUCUGGAUGCUCCAACCCAAAGGCAGCGUGCGGGUCCCAGCGAGGUAGAGCACUCACCUACCGCUGCAGACUGGAUCCUUAAACCAAGGAGUAACGGAAUCAAGAUAAAGAACAUUUCGGGAAUUCCCUGGUGGCGCAGCGGUUAAGAAUCCGCCUUCCUUCCAAUGCAGGGAACACGGGGAAGAUCCCACAUGCCACGGAGCAACUAAGCCCGUGUGCCACAACUACUGAGCCCGCAGUGCUACAACUACUAAAGCCCGGGCGCCUAGAGCCCAUGCUCCGCAACAAAGAGAAGCCACCGCAAUGAGAAGCCCUCACACAGGAACGAAGAGUAGCCCCAGCUCUCCGCAACUAGAGAAAGCCUGCGCGCAGCAACAAAGACCCAACUCAGCCAAAAAUUAAUUAAUUAAUUAAUUAAUUAAAAUAAAUAAAUAAAAUAAAAGGCCCAGCCGCUCCCAGACCGGGUCAUGAACCUGUGUCCCCUGCAUCGGCAGGCGGACUCUCAACCACUCAGCCACCAGGAAAGCCCUUUUUGGGUUUUUUUUGGCUGCAUUCGGUC